CCUACGGGUGGCAGCAGUGGGGAAUCUUGGACAAUGGGGGAAACCCUGAUCCAGCGACGCCGCGUGAGUGAAGAAGUAUUUCGGUACGUAAAGCUCUAUCAUCAGGAAAGAAAAUGACGGUACCUGACUAAGACGCCCCGGCUAACUACGUGCCAGCAGCCGCGGUAAUACGUAGGGGGCAAGCGUUAUCCGGUUUUACUGGGUGUAAAGGGAGCUUAGACGGCAGCGCAAGUCUGGAGUGAAAGGCCGGGGCUCAACCCCGGAAGUGCGCUGGAAACUGUGAGGCUGGAGUGCAGGAGAGGUGAGUGGAAUUCCUGGUGUAGCGGUGAAAUGCGUAGAUAUCAGGAGGAACACCAGCGGCGAAGGCGGCUUACUGGACUGUAACUGACGUUGAGGCUCGAAGGCGUGGGGAGCAAACAGGAUUAGAUACCCUUGUAGUC
rnacentral:rRNA from 1 species